rnacentral:rRNA from 1 species
GAUGAACGCUGGCGGCGUGCCUAAUACAUGCAAGUCGAGCGAACAGACGAGGAGCUUGCUCCUCUGACGUUAGCGGCGGACGGGUGAGUAACACGUGGAUAACCUACCUAUAAGACUGGGAUCACUUCGGGAAACCGGCGCUAAUACCGGAUAAUAUAUUGAACCGCAUGGUUCAAUAGUGAAAGACGGUUUUGCUGUCACUUAUAGAUGGAUCCGCGCCGCAUUAGCUAGUUGGUAAGGUAACGGCUUAUCAAGGCAACGAUGCGUAGCCGACCUGAGAGGGGGAUCGGCGACACUGGAACUGAGACACGGACCAGACUCCUACGGGAGGCAGCAGUAGGGAAUCUGCCGCAAUGGGCGAAAGCCUUGCGGAGCAACGCCGCGUGAGUGAUGAAGGUCUUCGGAUCGUAAAACUCUGUUAUUAGGUAAGAACAAAUGUGUAAGUAACUAUGCACGUCUUGACGGUACCUAAUCAGAAAGCCACGGCUAACUACGUG